rnacentral:lncRNA from 1 species
UUGCGGUUUAUUAAACGUAGCUUUAUUUGUCAUUUGUUGCCAUGGAUAAAUGAUCAUUUGUGUCAUCUAUUUGAAUUUUAUACUAAGCGAAGACUUCUAAGUUGGUGAGGCUAACAGUUUACAUAAGCGACCAAUAACUAUGAACACAUAUAAUUUUUACGUUCUUUUUUUAAGUUCGUUUAUUCUAUCCCUGAACCAACUGUUUCAUGCUAAUUUCUGAAAAUUAUAAAUCCUUUUUAUACUAAUGAAU